GUAGACAUCCUUAGUAUGUAUGGUCUAUCUUUGUUGCUUUGGUUUGUAGGGCUGAAUCAGUUCUAUUGUGAAUGGCUAAAUGUAUAUUAUUUUGCCCUCAUCUAUUAUGAGUAUUUGUAUUAUUUAUUGAGAGGUAUCCAACUAUCAAUGUCAGAAUGAAAUUAGUCUGCCUUCAUCGUCUGGCCUUUUAUACAAAUGUUAUUCUGCAAAUAUAUUGUUAUACCGGUUGUCUGUUCAGAUCUCUACUCCAUCUUUACCUCUUAUGUUCAGAAUUAAAAAAUCUGGAUUUAUGUAUAUACAUUUUUAUUUGCAUCUGCUGCUUUUGUUUUAUUAUAGUUCUUGCUAAGCAGCCUUCGGGUGGGUGAUUUGGUGGCCUAUUUUUUUGGGGGGGUUCUACUCACCUUUUUUGUGGGCAGGCAUUUUUUUAUGCUUGUUUUUACUUAUGUGUCUACAGUAGGGGGUCUGUCAUCUAUUUUUUUGUAGAUAUUUAUUUUCCAUAUGUGUCCCCUAUUUUGUAUAUAUCUUUUCGUCAUUUACUAAAUAAUGACAAUUUUCAUUCUUACACAUGUGUUCUGUUUCAUGCCUGCUUUAGCUAAAAACAAGCUCAGCCUCCUUAGCUAGAACAUAAAAGCUAAGGAACAUAAAUUAAUGAUUAUUGUAAAUAAUAACUUUCAUGUGACGUGCUGUGUUUAUUUGUUUGUUUAUCUCACUUUACACUGUUCCAUACUUUGUUUAUGUAAUCUCCUGAAGUCUAUGUUUUCCCUAACCCUUAAUUUGUACUUCUAGUCAAAUCAGAUGUGUUCAAUUUGUCACGUGUCUCUUAUUGAUCUGUUUAUUUUGAACAAUGAGCCACGCAAUUGCUGUGCAGUGAAAUUUCUACACACCGUCCACCCCUUCUACCUCCUUAGAUAGUUAUUUAUAUUUGUAAUUGUUGACCUAGUUUUUUUGGUUUCUACCCACCUUUUUUGUGGGCAGGCAGUUUUUUGGAUGAUUGUUUUUACUUAUGUGUUACUUACAGUAGGGGGUCUAUCAUGUAUUUUUUGUACAUUUGUUACAUAAUAUUUCUAGUCCUUUGGCCCCCUAUCUUGUGUUUUGUGUAAAUAUUUAUUUUCCAUAUUUGUGUAUAAUAGGGGGUCAUGGUUGCAUUCAGCACCACAUGUUUUAUUACUAUGUAACAUGUUUUUGAAUGCCCCCUUUUUUGUACAUAUAUUUUCGUCAUUUACUAAAUAAAUUACAAUUUUUAUUCUUA
rnacentral:sRNA from 1 species